rnacentral:rRNA from 1 species
UAGGGAAUCUUCCACAAUGGACGAAAGUCUGAUGGAGCAACGCCGCGUGAGUGAAGAAGGGUUUCGGCUCGUAAAGCUCUGUUGUUAAAGAAGAACGUGGGUAAGAGUAACUGUUUACCCAGUGACGGUAUUUAACCAGAAAGCCACGGCUAACUACGUGCCCG